ensembl:lncRNA
CCAUUUUUAAAGCCAGAAAAAUUUUAUAAAACCUUAGAAGAAAUAUUAUGGUUUUCUUUUAUGGAACUCUUAUUAAAACAAUCCAUCUGAUUAUCAUCUAUGCACUAGGCAAAAAUAAAAGCUUAUGGCAUUAUGUGUGACACAGUUCUGAGCUCUCAAUUUUUCCAAUUGUUGUGCCAAAACUAUUUUAAAAUGGCACCUGAGCCUAACAUUGCUUAAUAUGUUCCUUGGACCUUACUUGAUGAAGAAACAGAGACAAGUCAUUUGGCUGAAAAGAUGUGAAAGUGGGCUGAGCAUCCAGACAGUGUGGCUCUGGAGUCCAUGAGCCACAUCCCUCUACAUCGCUGCUAUAAAGGAUAAUUCUCCAGAAAAAAAAUAAAUAUUAUUUGGGACCAGAAGACAACUCAAAGAAAUAUUGUUUCGGCUAUAUCAGACAGUAAAGAUUUUGACUAUGAAAUUUUAUGCUUCUUUGUCUCUGGAUGUUAUCUCAGAAAAGUAAGUUAACAUAUUUUCUACAUAGAAGACACCAAAAAUAGACAUGUAUGGCAGAAUAAUGUGACUGCUGGGGGAGCUAAUCUAGUCCUUCAGAAAAUAGAGAUGAACCGUAUUGUAAAUUUUUGGUUGUAAAAUAUUCCACAUGAUUAUUUUGAUUUCUAGAUUACAAAGUGUUUCGACAAACCAAAAUUUUCCUCUUAAUUUAUAAUCUACUUUGGCUUCAUGAAAUAUUAACAUAUUUCUAAAUAUACCUUUAACCUUAAGAACAUUUAAACCCAAGUCUCUUUAGGGCAAUACUUUUCCAUUUGAAGUGGCUCUAUUAAGUUUAGAUUAAUUGAAUUUGAUUAAAAAGAUCAAGUGGCGACGAAAUUGUAGAAUCUGUAAUUUUAGAUAAUCUUUUAAUAUUAAAAUACUUUCCUUUCAUAUAUUCAUAAUUAAACUCUUAAUUCAUAACUUGCCAUAAUAUCUAAAUAUUUUAUAUAUUAUUCACCCAUCAUCUGAAAUCUGUUAAGUAAUUUCUUAGUAAAGAUAGGUGAUAAAUUGGGUAAUGACUAGGUUUAUUGUUCAGCAUUACAAAACUUGUAAAUGAAUCUAUCUUCAGGAUUAUUUU